AGACAGUGGUUUUACACUGAAAAAGGGCAGGUUUAGAUUAGCUAUUAGGAAGAUGUUCAUUAUUGUGAGGCUGAGGAGGCACUGGUACAGAUUGCCCAGAGAAGUUGUGGAUCCCCCAUCCCUGGCAGUGUUCAAGGAUAGGCUAGACGAGGCCCUUAGCAACCCGGUCUAGUGGAAGGUGUCCCUGACUAUGACAGGGGGGUUGGAACUCAAUGAUCUUUGGGGUCCCUUCCAGCUCCAGCACAUUCUAUGACUGUAUGAUGACACACUCUUUCAUGUGUCCUGUGAGUACACUGGUCAUCAGCAAGAGGACAGAACAGAAUUGCUGAAGAUUUAAAAUGGCUGUUUCUGCAGGCAAUGCUUGCAGAGAGUGCUCUGCAGGGCUACACCAAUCGUAGGGGUUAAGGCAUUCUCAGUGUUGCUACAAUUACUGGCUCCAAUUGUUCUAAGCUCAACCAUUUUCUAGCAGAUACAUGUUAACCCUUUAUCUUCAUGGCAUCCUGUUUCAUGCCUCACCAUCAAGGAAUAGGGUAUUCCUCAGGCAUAGGAAUGGGGAUAGAGAAAGCUGCUCAGAUGCUGCUGUUGCCUGACUGCACCAGAGGUAUGCACACCAAUCUACUAGAAAGAGAGGGACAACCCAAUUUUGACACUGAUCUAGGCAAUGUUUGCCUAUGAAUAAUGACAAGGAAGUCAAGAACAGAUAAAUCUUUGGAGAGAGAAGUCUGUCUUCAGCAGGAGAGGCUAGCUCUUUUUAACUAAAGUCUCCCGUGGUAUCAGCUUGCUUGACAUUUCUGAAGAAGUGAUUUGGUUUCAAGUAGAAAGGAUUCUUUGGUUACCCAUGCAACUGAUGAACCCUAGGUGGUACACAAAUAUUUUUAUCCUAAUGAUCAAAAUGGAUGGAAAUAUAGGAUGAAUUGUUUUUUUCACUCCCUGAAGAUACUGGCUGAGACAUACUGACAUAACAGUACCAGUAGAAGCAGGUAUUUAAGGGUGGAUUUUUCAUUUUUUAAAGAGGGGACUUUGGCUCUCAGUCUGUCCCUAUUAAACCUGUUAAACUGCAUUAGUGGCCAGAAUGAAAUAAAAUUUUUCAAUAAGAC
rnacentral:lncRNA from 1 species